GCUCAACCGGGGAGGGUCAUUGGAAACUGGGGAACUUGAGUGCAGAAGAGGAGAGUGGAAUUCCACGUGUAGCGGUGAAAUGCGUAGAGAUGUGGAGGAACACCAGUGGCGAAGGCGACUCUCUGGUCUGUAACUGACGCUGAGGCGCGAAAGCGUGGGGAGCGAACAGGAUUAGAUACCCUGGUAGUCCACGCCGUAAACGAUGAGUGCUAAGUGUUAGAGGGUUUCCGCCCUUUAGUGCUGCAGCAAACGCAUUAAGCACUCCGCCUGGGGAGUACGGUCGCAAGACUGAAACUCAAGGGAAUUGACGGGGGCCCGCACAAGCGGUGGAGCAUGUGGUUUAAUUCGAAGCAACGCGAAGAACCUUACCAGGUCUUGACAUCCUCUGACAACCCUAGAGAUAGGGCUUCCCCUUCGGGGGCAGAGUGACAGGUGGUGCAUGGUUGUCGUCAGCUCGUGUCGUGAGAUGUUGGGUUAAGUCCCGCAACGAGCGCAACCCUUGAUCUUAGUUGCCAGCAUUCAGUUGGGCACUCUAAGGUGACUGCCGGUGACAAACCGGAGGAAGGUGGGGAUGACGUCAAAUCAUCGUGCCCCUUAUGACCUGGGCUACACACGUGCUACAAUGUGCAGAACAAAG
rnacentral:rRNA from 1 species